UGUUGUUGUGGCUGUAACCAUGUACAAACGUCAGAUAACGGCUCAUUCCAUCAACUAUAUUUAGCAAACUGCUGUAGCAUAAUAGCCGUCAGUACCAUGACCCGAGUGGGAAUAUUGUUUUUAUUUUAUACAUUUGCAAACAUUUCUAAAAACCUGUUUUUGCUUUGACAUAAGGCUGUAAUGUAACAAAAUGUGGAAAAGGUUAAGGGGUCUGAACCUAUUCAAAUAAAGAGAGCUAUGAAAGUCAGUCUGCAUAUGAAGAGGUCCCAAUGAAGAGCAGUGGUUCUCAGUCCUGGGGACUCAAAGGGGUGCACAUUUUUGUUUCAAAUGAUCAACUCAUCAUCAAGCUUCAAGUGGAAUAUACCUUGUAACUGGAGAUUCCUUCAAAAUGAUUGCCUACAGUUAACGUGUAGGGCACAGCAAGGUUGGGUGACCAUGGCCAUCUGGGACUGCCUGCUGGAGGAAUUCAGGUGUGUGAAGGCUACCUGUGUCCUGCAUAACUUCAUGAGGAUGGACACAAGGACCAGGAGGGGAUCUGCAGCUCCAGAGGAAAAGUCUGCUGCUCUGCAGGAUGUUUUAAGGAUGGGAUCCAACAACGCAGCAAGAGAGGCAAUCUGUGUGCGGGAGAUCUUCACCUCCUACCUCUUUGAAGAGGGUGCUGUUCCCUGGUAACACCAUAGACUACAC